rnacentral:lncRNA from 1 species
GUGGGUUUAUAGCUGUUGAUAUGUCUGUCCUCUGUGACCUACUGACAUCUCCUCUGUGACCUAAAUAAAAUGAAACCUGUGUUUUUCUAAAACAGUGGGUGGGCUUACUCCAACUGGUAGUGUCCCUGACUGGGUUCUAUGAUACCUAUCUUUAAAGGGGGGAAAUAAAAGUUGUUUGUUUGUUUGUUUGUUUGUUUUGGAGAAGGCCAUUUGGAAGUGUUCUCAAGUAGUUGCCUGGGAGCUGGCUACCAUGUGUUUCUGAAAAAAAUCUUUGGAAUAAGUUAAUUAUACAGGGAAGAAAAAGAAGGAAAAGUGUAAUAAGUAGUAAAUGGGCCAGAAGGAAUAGAAGCCAAUGAAGAGGAAGAGGAAACAAAUCAUUAGAGAGCAUUCAAGGAUUUUGGAAGCCCUUUCAUGAAGGCAUUUUGCCCCAUCUCUGACAAGACUAGAUUUGUUGGUAUGAAAGCAGCAUUGUUCUUGGAGGAGAGCAAAUAUACUCCCUUGUGAAGCUGUCAGGAGAUCAAGACCUUUGUGACUUUGGAGGAGCCUGAAGCCAGGGAGUCUACCUGAUCUUACAAGCAUCCUAGUUGGUCAGAGACUUCUUUGAGUCCCUCCAUGAGUUCUUUGAGCUCCAAGACGUGGACUCUGAAAGAGAGACCCCUAGGGUUCCAAUCCCCAUUCUAGUUCCUGUGAGUACUCCCAGGGUGGCCAUUAAGGGAACCAGCUAUGUAGUGCAUUCUGCCCUGACAUGGGUUAUGCAGGAGAUAGGGAUGGAUACAGCAGAUGUUGAUAAGGAAAAGAUGGGUGUGGGGAGGCCUAAUGUACAGAUUUCAGUCAAGUUGAUAUUCAACAACUGAAGUUUGGAGACCAGAACAACAAAGAUAACAGGGCUGAGAGGGCUUAGAAGAAGCCAAUAUUUUGGCUCUGGCCCUCCAAGGUCAACAAGGAUCCAAGACAGGAUGGGAUUUAUCAUACAAGAUGCUACAACUUUGGUAAGUCACCUAACCUCCAGAGCAAGAUUGUUAGACCCCAAAGAA